rnacentral:rRNA from 1 species
CAUCCUCCAAGGCUAAAUACUCCUGACUGACCGAUAGUGAACCAGUACCGUGAGGGAAAGGCGAAAAGAACCCCGGCGAGGGGAGUGAAACAGAACCUGAAACCGUGUACGUACAAGCAGUGGGAGCCCCACCACCAAAGCGUUUCGCUUUGCGUGGUGCGCAAAAUGCGUAACGACAGCACGAUUGCGGUUAACGGAGCGUAAGCGACGUUCAACACAAGAAUCAGGCAGUGGAGCGUUUUGGGGUGGGGUGACUGCGUACCUUUUGUAUAAUGGGUCAGCGACUUAUAUUCUGUAGCAAGGUUAACCGUAUAGGGGAGCCGGAGGGAAACCGAGUCUUAAUUGGGCGUUAAGUUGCAGGGUAUAGACCCGAAACCCGGUGAUCUAGCCAUGGGCAGGUUGAAGGUUGGGUAACACUAACUGGAGGACCGAACCGACUAAUGUUGAAAAAUUAGCGGAUGACCUGUGGCUGGGGGUGAAAGGCCAAUCAAACCGGGAGAUAGCUGGUUCUCCCCGAAAGCUAUUUAGGUAGCGCCUCGUGAAUUCAUCUCCGGGGGUAGAGCACUGUUUCGGCCAGGGGGCCAUCCCGGCUUACCAACCCGAUGCAAACUGCGAAUACCGGAGAAUGUUAUCACGGGAGACACACGGCGGGUGCUAACGUCCGUCGUGAAGAGGGAAACAACCCAGACCGCCAGCUAAGGUCCCAAAGUCAUGGUUAAGUGGGAAACGAUGUGGGAAGGCCCAGACAGCCAGGAUGUUGGCUUAGAAGCAGCCAUCAUUUAAAGAAAGCGUAAUAGCUCACUGGUCGAGUCGGCCUGCGCGGAAGAUGUAACGGGGCUAAACCAUGCACCGAAGCUGCGGCAGCGA